rnacentral:lncRNA from 1 species
UCAUCAAAAAUUAUUGUCAUAGCCCUUUGAUAAGUGGCUCCUGCAUUUUUCAGACCAAAGGGCAUAACCUUAUAACAGUAUAUGCCAAUUGGAGUUCUAAAAGCAGUGUGUUUUUCGUCCUCAGGUGCCAUCUUUAUCUGGUUAUAUCCAGAGGAACCGUCCAUGAACGAUUUUCGUCCUCAGGUGCCAUCUUUAUCUGGUUAUAUCCAGAGGAACCGUCCAUGAACGAAAACAUCUCGUAACUUGAAGUAUUAUCGAUCAUUAGUUCGGUGACUAGAAGUGGAAAAUCGUCCUUUGGACAUGCUUUAUUCAGAUCUCGAAAAUCAACGCAUAUGCGAAUUUGACCAUUCUUCUUUUUCACUGGGACUAUGCUCGCGAUCCAGUCAGCAUAUUUUUCUUCUCUGAUGAACCCUGCUUCAAUAAGCUUUUUAGUCUCAGUUAUGAUCUGUUCUUCUAAGUCAACUCUUGUCCUUCUUGGAGCUUGUUUAACUGGAGCCACAUCUGGACUAAUGGCAAGUUUAUGAACAGCCACACUUGGAUCUAAGCUAGGCAUUUCUUUAUACGUCCAAGCAAAGCAGUCUUUAUAUUCCAUCAAUAGUGCUUUCAACACAUCUUGAUCUUCUUCUGGAAGUAAUGCACUAAUAUAAGUGGGUCUUCGAUCCUCUUCAUUACCCAAAUUUAUUUCUAUAAGCUCAUCAACGGUGGC